GGGCCGCUAGCUCAGUUGGUUAGAGCGCCAUCUUCACACGGUGGAGGUCACAGGUUCGAAUCCCGUGCGGCCCAC
rnacentral:tRNA from 1 species